GUUAGGAAUAUUGGACAAUGGGCGCAAGCCUGAUCCAGCCAUGCCGCGUGAACGAUGAAGUCCUUCGGGUUGUAAAGUUCUUUAGCCGAUGAUUAUAAUGACUGCAGUCGGAAAAUAAGCCCCGGCUAACUUCGUGCCAGCAGCCGCGGUAAUACGAAGGGGGCGAGCGUUCUUCGGAAUCACUGGGCGUAAAGCGUGCGUAGGCGGUCUCGUAAGUUAGGAGUGAAAGCCCAGGGCUCAACCUUGGAAUUGCUCUUAAUACUGCAAGGCUAGAAUCUCGGAGAGGAUAGCGGAAUUUCCAGUGUAGCAGUGAAAUGCGUAGAUAUUGGAAGGAACACCAGUGGCGUAAGCGGCUAUCUGGACGAGUAUUGACGCUGAGGCACGAAAGCGUGGGGAUCAAACAGGAUUAGAUACCCUGGUAGUCC
rnacentral:rRNA from 1 species